rnacentral:lncRNA from 1 species
GGGGGACAUGAGGACAGGGGGACAUGAGGACAGGGGGACGGGAGGACAGGGGGACGGGAGGACAGGGGGACAGGGGGACAUGGGGACAGGGGGACGGUGCCAUUGCAGGUCAGUGCAGCGCAUGCACCAAAAGGGGACACAGCUCAGGUCAUCCCGCACACACGGCACAGGGCCUGCUCCAGGACGGGUCCUGGCUGGGGAAAGGCUUUGCUCUGGGACAGGUCUUGGUUGGGGACAGGUCCUGAUUGGGGACAGGUCCUGAUUGGGAACAGGUCCUGAUUGGGGUCGGGUCCUGCAUGGGGUCGGGUCCUGCUUUGGGACAGGUCCUGAUUGGGAACAGGUCCUGAUUGGGAACAGGUCCUGCUUGGGGCCAGGUCCUGAUUGGGAACAGGUCCUGACUGGGAACAGGUCCUGACUGGGAACAGGUCCUGCAUGAGGUCAGGUCCUGGUCGGGAACAGGUCCUGCAUGGGGACAAGUCCUGAUCGGGAACAGGUCCUGAUCGGGAACAGGUCCUGAUUGGGAACAGGUCCUGAUUGGGAACAGGUCCUGCUCAGGGUCAGGUUCUGCUUGGGGUCGGGUCCUACAUGGGGUCGGAUCCUGCUUUGGGACAGGUCCUGCAUGGGGUCGGGUUUCUGCUUGGGGUCGGGUCCUGAUUGGGAACAGGUCCUGAUUGGGAUCGGGUCCUGAUUGGGAUCGGGUCCUGAUAGGGAACAGGUCCCGCUUGGGGCUGGGUCCUGAUUGGGGUCGGGUCUUGCUCAGGGUCGGGUCCUGCAUGGGGUCGGGUCCUGCUUGGGGCCAGGUCUUGCAUGGGAACAGGUCCUGACUGGGAACAGGUCCUGGUCGGGAACAGGUCCUGCAUGGGGACAAGUCCUGAUUGGGAACAGGUCCUGAUUGGGAACAGGUCCUGAUCGAAACAGGUCCUGCUCAGGGUCAGGUUCUGCUUGGG